CCGGGCUCAACCUGGGAACUGCAUUGGUGACUGCAUCGCUUGAGUAUGGCAGAGGGGGGUAGAAUUCCACGUGUAGCAGUGAAAUGCGUAGAGAUGUGGAGGAAUACCGAUGGCGAAGGCAGCCCCCUGGGUCAAUACUGACGCUCAUGCACGAAAGCGUGGGGAGCAAACAGGAUUAGAUACCCUGGUAGUCCACGCCCUAAACGAUGUCAACUGGUUGUCGGGUCUUCAUUGACUUGGUAACGUAGCUAACGCGUGAAGUUGACCGCCUGGGGAGUACGGUCGCAAGAUUAAAACUCAAAGGAAUUGACGGGGACCCGCACAAGCGGUGGAUGAUGUGGAUUAAUUCGAUGCAACGCGAAAAACCUUACCUACCCUUGACGAAAAGGAAUCUGUU
rnacentral:rRNA from 1 species